rnacentral:rRNA from 1 species
AACGAACGCUGGCGGCAUGCCUAACACAUGCAAGUCGAACGAAGGCUUCGGCCUUAGUGGCGCACGGGUGCGUAACGCGUGGGAACCUGCCCCUCGGUUCGGAAUAACAGUUAGAAAUGACUGCUAAUACCGGAUGAUGACUUCGGUCCAAAGAUUUAUCGCCGAGGGAUGGGCCCGCGUAGGAUUAGCUAGUUGGUGGGGUAAAGGCCUACCAAGGCGACGAUCCUUAGCUGGUCUGAGAGGAUGAUCAGCCACACUGGGACUGAGACACGGCCCAGACUCCUACGGGAGGCAGCAGUGGGGAAUCUUGGACAAUGGGGGAAACCCUGAUCCAGCCAUGCCGCGUGAGGGAAGAAGGUCCUCUGGAUUGUAAACCUCUUUUGGCAGGAAACAAACCUGCGCUAUACGCGCAGCUGAGGGUACCUGCAGAAUAAGCACCGGCUAACUCCGUG